AAGGGGCAAGUGGCAAGAGCCUGUUAACGUCUUAGGGCCUCCAGGCCUUUCUGUGCCCCUAGCUGUGCCUGUACGCUUUACCCCACCUCAGGAGGCUUGGUCUCCAGCGGUUGAGGCUGGAAGCACCGGGGUGCGGUGGAAAGGGCUCUGUCCAGGAAGACCGGAUCCGCAGAGCCGGGAGUCCGGGCUAGGAAGUCCCUUUCUCGGUGGGAGACUGAGGCCGCCUUGGCGGGGCGGGACGAGACUCCUCCGAGGUCGGGAAAGGGGGCCCCGCAGCAGCCCCUUGGCUUCCCUUCUCCCUUGCCUCCCCUCCGGGGCUCCGGUUCAGAGGCACUCUGGGCGCCUGCUACAGCUUCCAAACUGCGCCGCUUCCUUCUUCGGCAGAAAAGGACUUUCAGAUGCGGCGGCGGCGGCGGCGGCGACUCAGGACAGCGCCC
rnacentral:lncRNA from 10 species